rnacentral:rRNA from 1 species
UACGUAUGGAGCAAGCGUUAUCCGGAUUUACUGGGUGUAAAGGGAGUGUAGGUGGUAACACAAGUCAGAAGUGAAAGCCCGGGGCUUAACCCCGGGACUGCUUUUGAAACUGUGGAACUAGAGUGCAGGAGGGGUGAGUGGAAUUCCUAGUGUAGCGGUGAAAUGCGUAGAUAUUAGGAGGAACACCAGUGGCGAAGGCGGCUCACUGGACUGUAACUGACACUGAGGCUCGAAAGCGUGGGGAGCAAACAGG